UUUAAGCUUAUAGCUAAGUUAUUAGUCCUAAAAAUAUUUCACGAUACGAGCGAUUGGCAAACUAACACAUAAAAACCCAUCCCCAUAUAGAGAAAAAUCAGCGUGUUGUUAUUAUUAAACCAAAAUUGGUUAAAAUACGCCAAGCGUGAAAUUUUAUGUCAAGAGCACCCAAAAAUGAGGAAAGGAAACGCAGCGUGCAACAAGAGCUGUCAAACGGGCCACGCGGAACAGAUCCGCCAUUUCGUUCCUAGCACCGUCGUGAACAGACGGAAAAAGUGCCGCUAAAAAAAUCGGGAAGUGGGGUUGCGUUCGCGGAUUUGCCGGAAAAAGCAGAAAUCCACUCCAGAGCGCGUGCCAGACGAGCCGGAAGGUACACCUUCAAUAGAUUUGGCCGAAGAAAAGAAAAAGAAACCUAUCGACGAGACAAGCCGGCCAGAAGAGGUGGACAGGAAAAAACAAAAAGAGCCGCACAACCACGCUGCGUAAGUCGUUCGCACUAGACCCGUAAGCCAGCAUUUUAAGCGUUUCCUUUCUGCUUCCUCAGGGCUCUUUUUUCCCCCCUCACCUCAACUGCCUUCCGGCGCGGCAAUUUCGGGCGAGCCGAAGAAAAUCAGCAGCCCCCUGGUAGACCCCAGGAGGCGCCACAAGUGUAGGACGGAGGCACGAAUCAACCAAGACCAGCAGCCCCCUGGUAGACCCCAGGAGGCGCCACAGGCGUAGGGCUACAGUUCCCGCAGU